rnacentral:rRNA from 1 species
GACGAACGCUGGCGGCGUGCUUAACACAUGCAAGUCGAACGAAGAGCGAUGGAAGCUUGCUUCUAUCAAUCUUAGUGGCGAACGGGUGAGUAACGCGUAAUCAACCUGCCCUUCAGAGGGGGACAACAGUUGGAAACGACUGCUAAUACCGCAUACGAUCUAAUCUCGGCAUCGAGGAUAGAUGAAAGGUGGCCUCUACAUGUAAGCUACCACUGAAGGAGGGGAUUGCGUCUGAUUAGCUAGUUGGAGGGGUAACGGCCCACCAAGGCGAUGAUCAGUAGCCGGUCUGAGAGGAGGAACGGCCACAUUGGGACUGAGACACGGCCCAGACUCCUACGGGAGGCAGCAGUGGGGAAUCUUCCGCAAUGGACGAAAGUCUGACGGAGCAACGCCGCGUGAGCGAUGACGGCCUUCGGGUUGUAAAGCUCUGUUAAUCGGGACGAAAGGCCUUCUUGCGAAUAGUGAGAAGGAUUGACGGUACCGGAAUAGAAAGCCACGGCUAACUACGUG